rnacentral:rRNA from 1 species
AGAGUUUGAUCCUGGCUCAGGAUGAACGCUGGCGGCGUGCUUAACACAUGCAAGUCGAACGGACUCAUAUUGAAACCUAGUGAUUUAUGAGUUAGUGGCGGACGGGUGAGUAACGCGUGGAAAACCUGCCGUAUACUGGGGGAUAACACUUAGAAAUAGGUGCUAAUACCGCAUAAGCGCACAGCUUCGUAUGAAGUGGUGUGAAAAACUCUGGUGGUAUACGAUGGUUCCGCGUCUGAUUAGCUUGUUGGCGGGGUAAUGGCUCACCAAGGCGACGAUCAGUAGCCGGCCUGAGAGGGUGAACGGCCACAUUGGGACUGAGACACGGCCCAAACUCCUACGGGAGGCAGCAGUGGGGAAUAUUGCACAAUGGGGGAAGCCCUGAUGCAGCGACGCCGCGUGAAUGAAGAAGUAUUUCGGUAUGUAAAGCUCUAUCAGCAGGGAAGAAAUAGCGACCUUUGGGUCGCCAGACGGUACCUGAUUAAGAAGCCCCGGCUAACUACGUGCCAGCAGCCGCGGUAAUACGUAGGGGGCAAGCGUUAUCCGGAUUUAUUGGGUUUAAAGGGUGCGUAGGCGGAGUGUCAAGUCAGCGGUAAAAUUUCGGGGCUCAACCCCGUCGUGCCGUUGAAACUGACGCCCUUGAGUGAGUGAGAAGUAAGCGGAAUGCGUGGUGUAGCGGUGAAAUGCAUAGAUAUCACGAAGAACUCCGAUUGCGAAGGCGGCUUACUGGACUGUAACUGACGUUGAGGCUCGAAAGCAUGGGUAGCGAACAGGAUUAGAUACCCUGGUAGUCCAUGCCGUAAACGAUGAGUGCUAGGUGUUGGAGGGUUUCCGCCCUUCAGUGCCGGAGCUAACGCAUUAAGCACUCCGCCUGGGGAGUACGACCGCAAGGUUGAAACUCAAAGGAAUUGACGGGGGCCCGCACAAGCGGUGGAGCAUGUGGUUUAAUUCGAAGCUACGCGAAGAACCUUACCAGGUCUUGACAUCUUGCGCUAACCUUAGAGAUAAGGCGUUCCCUUCGGGGACGCAAUGACAGGUGGUGCAUGGUCGUCGUCAGCUCGUGUCGUGAGGUGUCGGCUUAAGUGCCAUAACGAGCGCAACCCCUGCCGACAGUUGCUAACGCGUUGAGGCGAGGACUCUGUCGGGACUGCCGGCGCAAGCCGCGAGGAAGGCGGGGAUGACGUCAAAUCAGCACGGCCCUUACGUCCGGGGCGACACACGUGUUACAAUGGGGGGUACAGCGGGAAGCCAGGCGGCGACGCCGAGCGGAACCCGAAAGCCUCUCUCAGUUCGGAUCGGAGUCUGCAACCCGACUCCGUGAAGCUGGAUUCGCUAGUAAUCGCGCAUCAGCCAUGGCGCGGUAAAGGCGUUCCCGGGCCUUGCACUCACCGCCCG